GCCUGGUCCAAUGGUAGUGGGUUAUCAGAACUUAUUAGUGGCACUAACGUUGCUACUCAACUCUCCAUUGAUAAAUUUGACUGGCUUAA
ensembl:Y_RNA Y_RNA Y RNA